rnacentral:lncRNA from 10 species
CUAUAACUUUACUCCAAAUCUUAAUUAAGAAAAUAAAGGUAUUUUUAAUAGAGUGAAUGCUUGUGUCCCCUAAAAACUCAUAUGAUAAAGCCUAACCCCUGAAAGAGAUGAUAUUAGGAGGUGAGGACUUUGGAGGUCCCAUUCACGAGGGUUCCUCUCUCAUGACCUAGUUGUGAGAGUGGAGCCCUUGUAAAUGGAAAAAAGAUCAGAGUUCUUCCCUUCUACCAUGUGAGGACAAAACUAGAAGGGGCCAUGUACAAACCAGAAGACAGACCUUCACCAGGCGCUGAAUCUGCCAGUGCCUUAAACUUCUCAGAUGCCAUAAAUGUGAAAAAAUAAAUUUUUGUUGUUUAUAAGAUCCCCAGUCGAUGGUACUUUGCUCUAGCAUGCUUAAUGAAUGAGACAGAAAUAAAAAUUAAUGAACAGUAUGUUCCAUGGAGGCAGUGAUCUUUUAUCUUCCACAUGUUAACUAAAAGAAAAAAUAAGAUAUUGAUAGAAUAAUUCAAGUCCACGAUAUUUUAUUUUUUCUAUUUUUGGUUUCUCCCCUUAUUCUGAAUUCAGUAAUAUCAAUUCCCUUAAUAAAUGAUUAAGAAGUACUAAAAUUGGUUUAGUGUUGGUUACAGGACUAUUUUAAUAAGUAACAGUGAAAUUUAUGCCUCAAGAAGAGAGAAAGUGAAUAAGAAGUAGUAACGAUGGCAAAAAUGGUAGUGUUUGAAGGUAGAGACAAAAGGUUUUUAAUAAAUUUUUCUGAAACCCUAUGGUUGGAGAGCCUUUGGAAAUUGCCAUAAAAUAAAGAGGAUACAAAAUGAAGUUUAUAGGUUAUUGAAGCACUUACCAGCAGGACAAACAUUGUUUACAUGUAAAUACAAAUUUAUUCACUAUUAAGCAAAAUGCCUUGCCUUAAAAAAUGUUUUUGUACCUGUCAAAGAAUUUUGUGGAUAUAGCCGCAGCCAUUAUUGCAUAUAACAUUCAAUGGCUUUAUUGCAAAUUUUUCUUUUUUAAUGUAUACACUUAUUUAUAAAUAAAACUGA